rnacentral:rRNA from 1 species
CUUCGGCAUGGACGAAAGUCUGACCGAGCACGCCGCGUGAGUGAAGAAGGUUUUCGGAUCGUAAAACUCUGUUGUUAGAGAAGAACAAGGAUGAGAGUAACUGUUCAUCCCUUGACGGUAUCUAACCAGAAAGCCACGGCUAACUACGUGCCAGCAGCCGCGGUAAUACGUAGGUGGCAAGCGUUGUCCGGAUUUAUUGGGCGUAAAGCGAGCGCAGGCGGUUUCUUAAGUCUGAUGUGAAAGCCCCCGGCUCAACCGGGGAGGGUCAUUGGAAACUGGGAGACUUGAGUGCAGAAGAGGAGAGUGGAAUUCCAUGUGUAGCGGUGAAAUGCGUANAUAUAUGGAGGAACACCAGUGGCGAAGGCGGCUCUCUGGUCUGUAACUGACGCUGAGGCUCGAAAGCGUGGGGAGCAAACAGGAUUAGAUACCCUGGUAGUCCACGCCGUAAACGAUGAGUGCUAAGUGUUGGAGGGUUUCCGCCCUUCAGUGCUGCAGCUAACGCAUUAAGCACUCCGCCUGGGGAGUACGACCGCAAGGUUGAAACUCAAAGGAAUUGACGGGGGCCCGCACAAGCGGUGGANCAUGUGGUUUANUUCGAAGCANCGCGAAGAACCUUACCAGGUCUUGACAUCCUUU